UACGUAGGGGGCGAGCGUUGUCCGGAAUUACUGGGCGUAAAGGGCGUGUAGGCGGUUGGAUAAGUCUGGUGUGAAAUGGCGGGGCUCAACCUCGUCGCUGCGCUGGAAACUGUCUGACUGGAGUUCGGCAGGGGUUACUGGAAUCCCCGGUGUAACGGUGAAAUGUGUAGAUAUCGGGGGGAACACCUGUGGCGAAGGCGGGUAACUGGGCCGAGACUGACGCUGAUACGCGAAAGCGUGGGGAGCAAACAGGAUUAGAUACCCUGGUAGUCCACGCUGUAAACGAUGAAUGCUAGGUGUAGGGGGUAUCGACUCCCUCUGUGCCGCCGCAAACGCAAUAAGCAUUCCGCCUGGGGAGUACGGUCGCAAGAUUAAA
rnacentral:rRNA from 1 species